ACUCAAAUGAAUUGACGGGGGCCCGCACAAGCAGCGGAGCGUGUGGUUUAAUUCGAGGCUACACGAAGAACCUUACCUGGGUUUGACAUGACGCUAGUAGCGGCCUGAAAAGGCCCGCGACCGCAAGGAGGCGUCACUGGUGCUGCAUGGCUGUCGUCAGCUCGUGCCGUGAGGUGUUAGGUUAAGUCCUGUAACGAGCGCAACCCCUGGCUCCAGUUACACGUUGUCUGGAGCAACUGCCCGUGACAAGCGGGAGGAAGGUGGGGAUGACGUCAAGUCAGCAUGGCCUGUAUAUCCAGGGCUACACACACGCUACAAUGGCCGGUACAAUGGGUCGCCAAGCCGCAAGGCGGAGCCAAUCCAAUCAAAGCCGGUCUCAGUUCGGAUUGUGGGCUGCAACCCGCCCACAUGAAGUCGGAGUUGCUAGUAACCGUGGGUCAGCCAUACCACGGUGAAUACGUUCCCGGGCCUUGUACACACCGCCCGU
rnacentral:rRNA from 1 species